rnacentral:lncRNA from 1 species
CAAAUUUCAAAGAUUUUUUUCUAAUAGCUUCUGAACUUUCUGGUAGAUUUAUAAAAAUUUGAGAAAAUUAUUAAUCAGUUAAAGUCGUACUGUAGCUUCAUGUAGUACUAUAAAAUGAUGGACGUUCAAUUUUCCAUAUUUUUCCUUAACUGAGCUGAUAUGGAGCUGAGAUUAGACUAUGAAAUAUUGAUAGUCAAUCUCGAAGUGUCCUUCAGAUUAAUGUUAAAUUUCAAUCUAUGUUUAGAAAAUAGGCGAUUAGAUCCUUCCAGAAUCUCAUGUUAUAUUUUUAAAUUUCUGAAUUAUAGUGUACUAGACGUUAUCAUAAAUACAGACUGGAAAAAAUAUUAUGGCCACGCAAGCAUUUAGGAAACUUAAAUUUUCCACGAAGAGAAUAAUAGGUAUUAUUUAAUCUAGAAAUCUUUUUUUAAACGUCCUUCAAAAAGAUUUUUUAUUUAUUUAUUUAUUCCCGAACAAGUUUCGUAAGUAAAUUUACCUGAAGUCAAGGCCGUUGCUCUGCGCAAUUACAGUAGGAUACAUUCGCUAUCUUAGAUACACCGGAAAGUGAGAGAAACAAAAGCAAAAUUGGAAUCUUAAAGUAACACACAGGUAACCUGUCUUUUCAUUUAUUAAAUAAUUAUUUAUUUAAAUUGUUAUAUGCCCUAUUAGAUCGGUGUGCGUAUGUUGCGUGGGAAGAACGGGAAAAAACUAAAAUCUGCGAGUUUCAUAGAUAAUUCCGAAUAAUUAUUGAUUUAUCGAAAAUUAAAACGAUUUAGAGGAAGUUGCUUGAUUAACAAAAUAUUUAUGUAGGCAAAUGUUAAUAUAUUUUAAAUUUAGUUUGCUUAAAUUUUUCCUUAAAUUAUAAAUAAAUGCAGUGUAUCGAUUAUAAAGUAAAAUCAUAUUAAAUUCGUUAUUAAUUAGUUACUUUCGCUGUUGUAAAAGGCAAAAACAACUUGUAAUAACGUUCUGAAAUUUAGUUUUACUAUCACCAAUGUCUUGAUAACAGGGACGUUUCUAUAUAAAUUUUGUCUUACGCCAAAAUCCGCUAUUAAUAAAAUUUGAUCAUUUUUUUAUAAACUCUAGUUUAUGCGAGAAUAUUAUUUAGAGAUGAAAAAUAUUUAAAAUUACACUAUAUAUGUUACGAAUGCAAACUCGUAAUUGUCGAAAAUAUAUUCUUCAAACUGUUUAUAAUUUUCUCUAUAAGCAAACGUCUAAAAUGUCUCUAAAAUAUCGCAGUGAAUUACUGAAUUUCCUAUAGGGAGUAAUAAAAACCAUCAGAUUAAUAAUAAUUAGGGAAAUUCCCUGUGGAAGAGAGGGAGUACAAAAUUGGGAAAGAAAAAAAUAAAAA